CAAGUCGUGGGGCAGCAUGACUGUAGCAAUACAGUUGAUGGCGACCGGCAAACGGGUGCGGAACACGUACACAACCUUCCUUUUAGUGGAGAAUAGCCCAGGGAAACUUGGAUUAAUACUCCGUAACAUAUAAAAGUGGCAUCACUUUUAUAUUAUAGCAGCAAUGCGCUAGAAGAUGGGUGUGCGGCUGAUUAGAUAGUUGGCGGGGUAACGGCCCACCAAGUCGACGAUCAGUAACUGGUGUGAGAGCACGACCAGUCACACGGGCACUGAGACACGGGCCCGACUCCUACGGGAGGCAGCAGUAAGGAAUAUUGGUCAAUGGACGCAAGUCUGAACCAGCCAUGCCGCGUGGAGGAUGAAGGUCCUCUGGAUUGUAAACUUCUUUUAUUUGGGAAGAAACCCAUCUUUUCUAAGAUGGCUGACGGUACCAGAUGAAUAAGCACCGGCUAACUCCGUGCCAGCAGCCGCGGUAAUACGGAGGGUGCAAGCGUUAUCCGGAUUCACUGGGUUUAAAGGGUGCGUAGGUGGGCAAGUAAGUCAGUGGUGAAAUCUCCGGGCUUAACCCGGAAACUGCCAUUGAUACUAUUUGUCUUGAAUACUGUGGAGGUCAGCGGAAUAUGUCAUGUAGCGGUGAAAUGCUUAGAUAUGACAUAGAACACCAAUUGCGAAGGCAGCUGGCUACACAAAUAUUGACACUGAGGCACGAAAGCGUGGGGAUCAAACAGGAUUAGAUACCCUGGUAGUCCACGCCCUAAACUAUGGAUACUCGACAUUUGCGAUAAACUGCAAGUGUCUGAGCGAAAGCAUUAAGUAUCCCACCUGGGAAGUACGAUCGCAAGAUUGAAACUCAAAGGAAUUGGCGGGGGUCCGCACAAGCGGUGGAGCAUGUGGUUUAAU
rnacentral:rRNA from 1 species